AUAACCAUAAUCGCUUGGACGUGUUUGGUUAAUACCAUUUAGGAACGGUAAUUACCGAUUGACCGAUUGGAAUCGGUUCUAAUGUCACUGGUGUAGCUGUAGAUGUUACCCAGAUAUUUAAACAUAGCGUGCGCGAGUGCUGGGCAUUCCUUGAUAAUGUGACCUGAUGUUUCAUCCUUCUCUUAACACUAUUGUCAUUCCAGGUUGUCCGCAAUAACUACAGUGAUAGAUGACGUCUUAAAUGCUAAUAUGUCAUAAAAAGAUCUGUCACUAACCAGACUUCAGACUUCGUCUCUUUAAGCGCAAUAGUUGUCUGGUGAGUCAGGCUCAUCUAUGUGUGUCUAGUCUGUUCCAUGCCAGGUGCAUCUGUUCAUCUCCUGAGGGUCCACUACGGAUGAUAGGUUCAGGGCCUACCGGUUGUUUCGUUGUUUCCAAGUCCAAGGGAGUAUUCAAGGAGCAUUCAGGAGUCCAGUUACGUGUGAGCAAGGAUUGAGCUUGAGCACAAUUGAUUACAUUGUUUCAAAUGUAAGCAAUAAAACAGACUGCAAGACGAUUGAUUUCAGAAAAUUUUUCAGGAUUUCAUUUCAGAAAAGUGUUUUAAUGCAGCUGUUCCUGUGAGAAAAACAAUAUUAGGUAAAUACAAAAUAAAAAGCCAAAUUGAGUUCCCUGCUGAAGUUCUAGCACACUUAGACAAAUUAAAAUCGUUAAAUUGGUUAAGAAAGCAGACGAAUUCUGAUUCAUUAAAUAAUUAUUAUAAAAAUUUAAAGAAAGUUGUUAAUAAAAAUAUACAAGAUAAAAAACGAGAGUUUUAUGAAAGCAAAACUUGUAACUCUAGGAAUAGAACAAGAAUGCUUUGGAACAUUAAAAAUGAAAAGUUGGGCAGACAAACCAAAAAUAACAAAGAUUCCAUUAUCGCCAUUACAGAUUAUAAUAAAAAAACUGCGUUGUUCGGACACUAUUUCGCCAAUUCAGUAAAAAACAGAUUAGAUAAUUCAAAAUUAAGUAAUAAAAAUUAUAGUGCCCCACAACAAUAUAUAACAAAUACUUUUUAUUUUAAGCCUGUAUGUAAGCUUAGAUGAAACUCUUGUAAAAGGUUUAAGAAAUAAAUUUUCCAAAGGACUUGACGAGGUCCCAGCAAAAAACAUGGUUCGAAAAAAUAUA